UCCAGGGCGUAUCAGAUGCGGGCAGAGAGCAGCAGGUGCUACUAAAGGCUUUCUUCGUACCCUCUCUCCUUUCGCUCAGGCCAGUUCACUAGCUGCCAACAGCCUGCAGCCUCCUCUCCCCGCUGUGGCUACCUGACACCGCUUUGGGCUUUGUUCCUGCACCACUGGAACUCCGUGGCAAAAUCAGAUCCAACUUCAGGCUCCUGACCUGGAAAAUGAUACGAUACCACAACGCUGCGUCACCUUCCUCCAGACACAGAGUUCAUCAUGCUGGGAUCAUGUGUUAGAAGUUCCCAUCCACCCACAUCAUCGCUUUUUGAGGAAACAGGACUUCUGUCUGGAUUAUUCCAUCUUUAUAUUGUCCUUCUUCAUUGACUUGCCAUUACCUAGGACACAUCGGAAGUAACCAAGGCAUACGGGGCUGAAAUUAAACUCAAGUCAUACAGUUACUAAAUGGGUUCCCCACUGACCAGAUCCAACCACAACAGCAGGUACUGGAGUCCAUGACUCAUUGCCUACCAGCCAGCCCCACCGCACACAGCAAGCUUGAGAGAGGACCUGAGAGGCAAUGGAAGAGACCCACGACAUGUUCCCAGCCCCCAGCUGGAAAGGUAUCUGCCCUGUCCUAUCCAUCUGUGUAUCUUCCACACCUAGCACAGAGCCUGGCACCGAGGGAGGGCUCCAUAAAUGUUGAAUACGCAAAGAUCUCACUUAGUAAAGGUCUCAACUGCAAAUCGCACAGAGAAAAUAAAUUUCUUAAUCUAUUAUCAGCUGGUGCCGUGGGGUGGUUUGUGGCAAGAAAGAACAAGUUUCAGCAUGAGAAGCUGGAAGUUAAUGUCCCCUGAGGAACAUGUACUUCCCAGUUUUAUUUUUUUUGGGGGGGAUCAGGGUGUCAUUAGUCAAUGAAACACACAGCAGCUUGCCCUACAGGACAGAACAAUUCCUACCAGAAGUUCACAAGAGUCUGCCAUUCCUUUCUCUUUUGCAGCAAAGCUAACGUGUAACAACCAAAAGUAAUGACAACAUUAUUUCCUGCAAAUUAUAUAGGAGGCAUCAAACAGAAAACUGUGUUGGAAAAUUAAAUUUAGCAGGUCAAGGCAGCAGCACAGAACUCCCAGCUGUUUGCAGCUCUGCUGUGUUGAUGGACUGACACAGGGCAGCCAUCAGACAUGGCCAGGGUGACCGAGUAGCAGACCCCAGCCCCAUGUCUUGUCUGCACUUGCCACUCCAUUUUCACAGCCAUCCCAGGUCACUUCCUCUUUCAACCUGUCGUACGCUGAGGAAAUGGGGGAAAUUGUUCCGGCAGCACUUUUCACCACAUAAUUAUUCUCUACCCGGAUGUUCAAAGCCUUUUGAUGAGUAUCUCACAUUCUGCCCUUAGUGACACACCAUAACCCCUUGUAAUUGGUUCUCAAUCCUGUUCUCCUCUCACUGUCAAUUGUUAAAGAGAACCUUCUGCCUUCAUGUCUUCACUUCGUUGGGAAUUUUCACUUCUUCUCCUACCUAAUAGGCACUCAAGGAAGACUUCUGAUUAAUAAUCCACUUAGCUAUACCGUGUCUCCAUAGUAACUCUACACCUGGCUCAAAGUUGAUGGCAGUUGUGUGCAGUGCCUUGGCUUCUCCCCCACUCAGCCACUAAUCCUGCAGAUGGAUGAUUUUAUUCCAGCCCCGCAAAACCUAGAGAGCUCUGCCCUCCAUGACAGGUCAGCAACGUUUCCCACUUGCUCCUUCGUUCCCCUCAGCCUCCAAACGCAGUGCAAACCGAGUUCCUCUGGGCACAGUGCGCAUCAACAGAGACCGCUCUUCAACUUCAGUAAUGUCCUUGGCACAAAGCGUACAAGCCUAUCAGCCACCGGAUGUCUCCCUCGUCUCCAUCUUGCAGGGCCAAGGAGGAGAUCUUGGUGGCCCUACAAAGGAGGCCCGCCACAGCGUGGAUCUGUCUGUUCUGAUCAUCCUGUGUUAGGAAGGGAGUAAACAGUCCUCCAUCGGUGCCCUGAAGCCAGAGCCAAAGACACAGGAAUUUAUGGAUUAAUUCCACGUCUCCUUCUCUGAGAUCUUGUAGCCAGGUGGGGCUGCUGUGUUGCACAGCUCUAGGUAAAUGGUGCCCCCUGGGACCGUCAGAUGUGGUGGGCCUGGUGCGGAACAUUGUCUUGAGCCCUGCAAAUCCUGUGGCUGUGUUGUUCGUGUGAUGCAUUCUUUGGUCUUCCCCACCCUGCUCUGUGUCCCAGGAAGCACACCUGUAUGGAUUGCAAUUCCUUUGCCUUCCA